AACAUCGCGCACCUGCGGGAACCUGCGGAGGGAUCAUUACCGAGUUUACAACUCCCAAACCCCUGUGAACAUACCACUUGUUGCCUCGGCGGAUCAGCCCGCUCCCGGUAAAACGGGACGGCCCGCCAGAGGACCCCUAAACUCUGUUUCUAUAUGUAACUUCUGAGUAAAACCAUAAAUAAAUCAAAACUUUCAACAAUGGAUCU
rnacentral:misc_RNA from 1 species